GGAUCAUCUGCUGUGGGUGUUCCUGAUCUUUGAGCCAUGAUAAUGUUACUGGUUGGAUGUCAGGAGCAGGCCAUGUGGAUGAUUAAAAGAUGAAUAUCAUAUACAGCAUGGAUAUGUUGGACAAAAAGAUGAUUCACAUCCCAGACAGAAUGGAGCAGCACAUUUAUUAAAAGCCAGAAGCUAGAAGACGAGGAAAGAAGAGGUGGUUAAAGAAAGAUACAGUAACAGCAGUAAUAUCUAACAGGAAGGCUACAGGGGAAAAUACAGAAAUUCCAUAAAGAACAAACACUGUAACUCAAAACCAAAGCUUUGCUAGUCACUAGUGCCCGCUACAUCCUAACAGAGUAUUGAUUCUGCAACAAACUGAGAAGAAACCUGGCGAUUCACAACAGAGAGCUGAGAAAUCCUAAGUCUGGAUUCCAGCUAAAUGGGAGCAGACUAAAUAGAGCGGCAGUCGGCGAACUACAUGUAGCCCAUGAACAAAAUCCGGUCCAGCACGUGUGUUUUUUUUUACGGCCCACAAAUGAGUCUGUCUUUACAGAUGAAUGUUAAAACUGGGUUGACAAGAGAGAACACUCACUUUGAACCGCAACUAAACAAAAUAUUAUCACCUUUCCCCUCAAAAAAGACUGUCAGAUCAUUAGGAACCAGCAUGAUGACUAUAAGUAUA
rnacentral:lncRNA from 1 species